rnacentral:rRNA from 1 species
AUUGAACGCUGGCGGAAUGCUUUACACAUGCAAGUCGAGCGGCAGCGCGGGGGCAACCCUGGCGGCGAGCGGCGAACGGGUGAGUAACAUAUCGGAACGUACCCCGUCGUGGGGGAUAACACAGCGAAAGCUGUGCUAAUACCGCAUACGACCUGAGGGUGAAAGCGGGGGAUCGCAAGACCUCGCGCGAUGGGAGCGGCCGAUAUCGGAUUAGCUUGUUGGUGAGGUAAAGGCUCACCAAGGCGACGAUCCGUAGCUGGUCUGAGAGGACGACCAGCCACACUGGAACUGAGACACGGUCCAGACUCCUACGGGAGGCAGCAGUGGGGAAUUUUGGACAAUGGGGGCAACCCUGAUCCAGCCAUUCCGCGUGAGUGAAGAAGGCCUUCGGGUUGUAAAGCUCUUUCAGCAGGAACGAAACGGUGGCCACUAAUACUGGCUACUAAUGACGGUACCUGAAGAAGAAGCACCGGCUAACUACGUG